AUCCUUAAUUUCCUCAUCAAAUUUGGACAACCCAUUUUCUCUCUCCUCCAUUGUUCUUCCUCCUCUCUCUCUCCGGUCUGCCUCUCGCCGAGCUCUGCGAAAAAAAGUGAAGAUUUUUAAUUUAAUAUAUCAUCGUUCUCUGGGGGGCUAAUCUGUCAGAGCAUUGUCCUCUGUCCCUCUCUCUCUAUUGUGUUGUCGUGUUUUCGUUUCUGGGGGGAGGAGGGGGGAUUUGAUCAGUGAUGUCGAGCAGCGGUAGCAAUGGCGGUGGUGGGCCCGACUUCGACCUCCCCGAGGAGAUACUGUCGGUGAUACCCACGGACCCCUACGACCAGCUGGAUCUAGCCCGCAAGAUCACCUCCAUGGCCAUCGCCUCCCGCGUCUCCAAGCUCGAGUCCGACGCCUCCCGCUUCCGCCAGAAGCUCUACGAGAAGGACCGCCUCGUCUUCGAGCUCGAGGAGAAGGUCCUCCGCCUCGAGCGCGCCCACCAGGACGCUGAUUCCCGGCUCAAGGCCGCCCUCGAUGAGAAUAUGAGACUCUCCCAGGAGCGUGAUUCAUUAUCCAUGACUGUAAAGAAGCUCAGCCGUGAUCUGGCAAAGCUGGAGACCUUUAAGCGGCAGCUUAUGCAAUCGCUGAAUGAAGACAACUCAUCUCAUGCUGAAACAAUUGACAUCGGGACCUGUGAUCAAUCGAAUCCUAAGUUGUACCUAGAAAACGGUACAAAUGGCUAUGGGUCCCAUCAAUCUUACAAUGGCUCGACGGAUAUUAGGAAUAGCAUGGAUGAAAAUUCACGGCAUGCUGUGCAAAAGUUCUCCAUCACUCCAUAUAUUACACCCAGACUUACCCCAACGGGAACACCAAAAAUUAUUUCCACUGCCGGCUCUCCAAGAAGAUAUUCUUCUGCUGGGUCUCCCCAAAGAACUUCGGGUGCAGCAUCUCCCAUAAAAUCAGGAGGGAAUGUUAUGUCUUCAUGGUAUUCAUCAAGUCAGCAGUCAUCAGCAGCAAACUCUCCCCCGCGUGGACGUUCUUUGCCAGGACGCACCCCCCGAAUUGAUGGGAAAGAAUUCUUCCGGCAAGCCAGGACCCGUUUAUCAUAUGAACAAUUUAGCGCAUUUUUGGCAAACAUCAAGGAACUAAAUGCUCAAAAGCAAACUCGGGAGGAGACUCUAAGGAAAGCAGAGGAAAUAUUUGGAACAGAAAACAAGGACCUUUAUCUAUCAUUCCAGGGAUUGCUCAACCGAAAUGUUCAUUAGAGUUAUAGUUUUGAGUAAUCUCCGAUGAAGAUGCUUCUUACUGGAAGGUGUGUAUCAGUUCCUCCAAGAUUUUGGCCACUUUCAGCCUCUUGUGUUUAUAGGAUUAAGCUUAAUAGGGAAUGGUUGGACGGCUUGGACCUGUAAACAAGGUUUUGUUCAUGUGUGCUAGCCCAAGUUAUAAUAAUUGGAUAAUCUUCAAUGUAGGAAAUCACUUGUUUCUAGAAUUGCUACCGCUUUUCAAAUCCUUAAGGAAUUGACUAUCAUUAUCCGGAACUUUGGAUUACUCAUCCCCAGCACUUAAAAAAAAAAGAGUGAUGGUUUGUUGCUCAUCUCAAUGCCAUACAACUAGUCCGAAUGGCCAAAUGGAGUUGCUGUUGAUGCAGAGGCUGAAGUUUGAGCAGGCAACUGAGAGGCCUAGGCCUCGUUUUUCUCUAGGAAGUCCUCUGUAAAUAAGCGUGAAGUUUGGUCGCAUUUUCAUAUCCCGAACAGUCUGCAGUGGAAUUCUCUUAGCAAACUAGGGGAAUACCAAAUUGGCAUGUAGUAUGCUUCAUGUUCACGUGCACUGCAAUGUCGACCUGCUUAAGUUAUCAUAUGAAAUUUCUUCUCAUGGUCGCAUUUUUCAUAUCCCGAACAGUCUGCAGAGGAAUUCUCUUAGCAAACAAGGGGAAUACCAAAUUGGCA